CCCUCCCCUGCAUACUUUGCCCCACUUCAUUCUGGCCCAGCCCAGAGCAGAGGGCUUUGUUUCCGGGACAAGGCAGAAAUAUGGCUGAUCGCUCCGCUCUUCUAAAGUGAGUAUCACAGUAUGGGAGAGGGGUGGAAGGGCAGAGGAGAGGAGAGCUGGCAUGAAGACGUAGUGGAGAUCUGAAAGGUAUGAACAUGAUGUUCACUGCUUGACAGGUCACAAAUCCCUCAUUACCUAAAACGUUUGCUAUAACCUUCCCACAAAUGCAGGGCCUUCCGCUAUGCUGGAGUGGAGUCACGGAGAGGUGAAUGGGUGAAGUUCUGGAUUGAGCCCAGUAAGCCUCUCACCUGAGUUGGUCCGACCAACCCGUAGGAGUCGCCAGUGUGGUGAUAAGGACAUGAUCCCUCACUGGCUUCCCACAUACAAACACCAGUUUUCGAUGGAACGCGCGUUAGAACCAGUACACUUUUCAGGCCAAGAUGUCCUAUUAAGUCACAACUUUGCUGAUUUUCGCCAGCAUUGUAGCAUCACAAUGUGGGUAGUAUCUGCAAAUAAAUAAUGUUUAACCUCCUGCACCCAGAGCUCCCCGCUCAUUUGUUGGCAAAUGUCCGCUGGGUGACGCAAAACAUGUCAUCCAACUGACAAUUGAGAUCUGCCUUAGACUACAAACUGUUUCCUAAUUUUCAGUAGUGGUGCCUUCAAGGACGGUAAAAUGUGGGUCUCC